AGAAGUUUAGGAUAUAAUAGUCCAAGAGCCUUCAAAGCCCUAAGAAAACUAUCAAAGUUUAACUUCUG
rnacentral:tRNA from 1 species